rnacentral:rRNA from 1 species
AUGCAAGUCGAACGGCAGCACGGGUGCUUGCACCUGGUGGCGAGUGGCGAACGGGUGAGUAAUACAUCGGAACGUACCUUAUCGUGGGGGAUAACGCAGCGAAAGCUGUGCUAAUACCGCAUACGCCCUGAGGGGGAAAGCGGGGGAUCGAAAGACCUCGCGCGAUUAGAGCGGCCGAUGCCUGAUUAGCUUGUUGGUGGGGUAAAAGCCCACCAAGGCGACGAUCAGUAGCUGGUCUGAGAGGACGAUCAGCCACACUGGGACUGAGACACGGCCCAGACUCCUACGGGAGGCAGCAGUGGGGAAUUUUGGACAAUGGGGGCAACCCUGAUCCAGCAAUGCCGCGUGAGUGAAGAAGGCCUUCGGGUUGUAAAGCUCUUUUGUCAGGGAAGAAACACCGGCUCUAACACAGUCCGGGAAUGACGGUACCUGAAGAAUAAGCACCGGCUAACUACGUGCCAGCAGCCGCGGUAAUACGUAGGGUGCGAGCGUUAAUCGGAAUUACUGGGCGUAAAGCGUGCGCAGGCGGUUAUACAAGACAGGCGUGAAAUCCCCGGGCUUAACCUGGGAAUGGCGCCUGUGACUGUAUAGCUAGAGUGUGUCAGAGGGGGGUAGAAUUCCACGUGUAGCAGUGAAAUGCGUAGAUAUGUGGAGGAAUACCAAUGGCGAAGGCAGCCCCCUGGGAUAACACUGACGCUCAUGCACGAAAG